rfam:Legionellales bacterium RIFCSPHIGHO2_12_FTLL_35_11 rifcsphigho2_12_scaffold_20059, whole genome shotgun sequence.
GAAGGUAGGCCCUUCGGAGUCGGUUUCCAGAAGCGGGCUCCAAACCACUUCAAGUGGCUGUCAUUAAGAGUGAUGGUCAUAAGCGUUGAAGUAAAGUGCGGGUGUUAACCCGGCAGGU